GCCCCCACGGGAUGCCAGGGGGCUCGAAGGAGGCAGAAACCCGCGGGGCUGAGCGUUUGGCGGGCCCAGCCCGUGCCACAGUAGCCGGGAACAUCUCCGCGCUGCAGCUGCCCGAAGGCGUACCCCGAACCUGCAGACAGCGCCGGGCUGGGGGCACCGAGGGGCAGAGCGAGGCGGGCGGAGGGACCCCAGAGCUCCGCAGCGAAGCCUGCAAUUCCUCCAGUGCUAGCCAACCCCCGUCCCCCGAGCGCUCCAGCGCCGGCGCUCGUCUUGGGGACCAGGGAGGCGAGCGGGGCCACCGCACUUGUCAGGGCAGGAGCAGCCUCUGAACCACUGCUGGGCUUGCUGGUGAAACGGAGACGGGCAUCACGCAGCAGAGAGCAAAGCUGAGGAAAGCUCUGCCGGGGCCACGAGCGCUGCAGGUGGUGCCGAUAGGUCUGAGCUCUCCUUGCUCACAAGUUACUGCCCCCGAAUCAAACCAGCCCUGCUCCUCCGUCACCGGCACUCUGCACCCGCCUUGGACCGCAGACAGGCCCGGAUCUCACCUGACUAAGAGGUAGUUUUAUUUGCAGAUGGGGAAGACGAAUUAAAAUGAAAGGAUUUGCUACAUGAGGGAUGCCAGAGUUAGGCAGGAUGCCAAGUUUCUGGCUUUCACAGUACUUUGCGGUAGCUUGCUCUUUGCUAAGACAGAUGCUUGGCUUCCCUUAGUGCCUGAGUGCUUAGCAAGGUAGUCAAUUAGGCCAUUACAAUAAUUCACACACGUUUAGCAACAACUUGUUUAAAAAAAACAUCACUUCAGUCACAGGGCAAGUGGCGGUAGUGCAGUGGUAGGUGGCAGCGUGAGAGGGAAAAUUAGUUGCUGUGCAGGAGCCACUGAAAUUCAAAGACAAUUAACGUGGGAAGGAUUACUGGCAAAGAAUUGCAGCAAAUUACGUCUAGAUGGGUAGAAGGAGAUACCUAGGGAAUUUGUCGGAUUUUUUUUUAAAUUCAUAAAAGUGUUAAUAUUUUAAUUUUAUUUGUCUUUAACUAAUUGGUAUCCUUCCUUUGUGAUUCCAAAGAAAAGGUCACGAUUCCCACCUCUCAGAAUGUUGACAGACUUUGUGCUCUUUUCCAUUUUCUUCACUGGAGCAGCUGUACUGAAUUGGAAGGUCUAUUCACGUCUCUGCUGCUCUCUGUCUCUCGCUGUGAAUACCAGCCGCAGAGAGGCUGGAGCGCAGCUCUGGGCUGCCCCCUCCCCAGGGCACAGCCCCAGCCCUGAGCGCUGCUGGAGGAAGGGCUGAUCUCAGCUGCUCUCGGUGCCCUCCAUGGCACUGCCACUGCAGGCGCUCCCAGGCACUGCUGCAGCCAAGCUGCCUCUCUGCUGGAUUUUUCUGGGAUGUCAUUCACAGGCCACUCUGGCAUUGCCUUUCCUAGAUGAUAUUUCUGGGCAACAAUUGCAGAGCAGGUAUGCCCAAUUAAUGCCUUACUGCAUUCAGGCAUCCCUCCAGAGCUGGUGGUCUAGAGUAGCUCUCACUCUGACUUAAAGCACAUUAGGAAACACUUUAGGACUCAGCUCCUGGUAUAAAAGUUGUGUUCCCUCCUCAAGAUCCAUCUUCCUUUUCAUGCAGCUGAAUAUCCUAUACCACAUCUUUUCAUCUGGUUCCUUUCUCUUAGCUGAAUCUGCAGCGUUCCAAGUAUGCACUAGCAGCUUGGGUCAAGCAAGACAAGUGUUCAGAUUUCUUUGACAGUUGGAAAGUAGAAUUAUUCCUGCAAGUAUUUGCUUGCUCAUUCACAAAAAUACAAAAAUAAAUUUGGGUACCAACAAGAUAAAUAAUUGCAGCUGCAUCUGGACUGAAUGAAGGUAGAAAUUUUUAAAAAAUAUUUUUAAAAGGACAUGGAAAAAAAUGUUGUGUCUCUUUUUAUUUAUUGGAGAUUGAUGGAGGCAGGGGGAAAGAUGUCUUUUCCCCUCAUCAUUCUUUCAGGUAUCCGGAGUAAUUUCCAUCUUGGAAGAUUUCUUUAUUUCUACUGGAAUCUGUAACAAAACAUUCCCUGGGUUUGCUCCAAAGCUUCAGCUGUGCUGGUUAUAUCCCAACCAAAGACUGGUUUAAAAAGCACCCAAUGCUGAAAGGGAAACUUCUUCCUCCUACCAUAGUCAGGCUUGAAAUUCUGUUGAUUCUCAUCAGGGCUUCUAAUUGGAGCUGGAAUAAUCAUGGGGAAAUGUUGUUUAUUUAGUAUUAAAGAGGCCUAUGGAAAUCUGCCUGGUUUUGUGGCAUAGGUUUGAGAUGAAGAGCUUUAAUGUUAUUGGAUGGUAGUGAUGUGUACUGUGAGCCUGACUGAUUACAGCUACCUGCUUGCUUGCUAAUGUUUUGACUUUUUUUUUUUUUUUUUAAUUUGCUCUUCCAUUUCUUGCUGAUAUUCACUGUGUGAGUUUUUUUUUUGUUUUAAUGGAACAGUAAGAAUUGUGUAAGCUUAAAAGAAGUGCUCUAUUUAAUUCUUGCAGAGAAAAAUGUUAUUGGGCUGAGCUCCUGUCUGCUACUGCUAACUUUGAGUGCUACUCAAAGCAUCCUCACUGCCAGGACAGUCGGCACCUUAUUAAAAGCCUUUGCAGAGAAGCCAAAACUCACAGAGGCCAGAGCUUCUUCUUGAGUAAAUUGGAAUAGUUUUUAAUGACACAGGGAGAUAAAAGUGAUCUAUGACAGCUGAGAACCUGGCCCUAAUACACCUAGAGAGCCAGUAUCUCUCACUCCUAGGCAUGUUCCUCCAGGAAGGAAGCAAGACAAGCUGUCCAACAGAGACAGGGCACAUCUGAACUGUUCUGCUUGGUAUUUUGAACUCUUCUGUUAGGGAGAGGAAGGAGCUUGGUUUGUCUCACCAACACAGCAGUACUUUUCUAGCUGAGCUCUAACUAGACUAGAACCAAGCCCUGACUCAGCUAUUGCUGAGUGGUGGUGCACACUGCUACCUUCCUGACUUAUGGAUAAGAUCAGCAGUGUCUCAGAAGUGGUUCUUGACUUGGGGCCAAAGAAACAUAUUACAUGGUGUGUGUGGUGUGGGCCAUGCGUGGAAGUGUCCAUCACUGCAUUCCUGCUGAGGUGUGUGAGCUUCUUUGCUACACAUGGGAAGAACACUUCUUGUUUUGUCAUAGAAAAGAACUGUUACACAAAGAAUCCAGUUUCCUCUGGAUUUUAAAUAUAUCCAAAAGUAAUGGAUAAAAACCUUCAUUGUAAGACAGCAAGGAAAAGGGGAUUUUUCUUGUUAUUUCAAACCUAAGCAGGCAAACAAUAGUAGUUGGCAUUAGGUGAGAGAAAGAAAUGUGAACGUUGGUUUCAAGGUAAUAUACUAACAUUCCAGGCUUGUUAUUCUUGUGCAGGUACUCUACUGUUUAUUCUAUUCCAGAUGAUUACAUGAAAAAACCCUCUCAAGUAGCAUUGUGCUUCAUUUCAAGCCUUGUAAAGUAACACCAGAAAAAGCUGAGGCUAUUCUGAAUUGAGUUAAAUUUCUCUUAAAAUUUAUUAGGAAAUCAAGUGUAAGACUGUGCUUCAUAUUGGCAAAAUUCUGUUUAAUUAAGGAAUUUUAAUCUUUCUCUUAUUUGAGUUUUAAAAUUAAUGUCUAUAUGAUGGAGGUUGAAAAAUAUUGUACUUAUUGAAAAAGCAUUAUUUUAGAUUUACGUUGACAGAAUAUCAACUUUUUAACAUACAGAUUUCCAUCAGCUGAAUGAGAGAAAAUUAAUUAGGGAAGAAUGAUUAUUUUGGGACUGGGCUUUUUUUUUUAAAUGGAGUACUUUAGGGUUUUUUACUUUCAAAAUAUUGCUUGAUCUAGGAAUCAUUUGAAAAUCCUCAGAAAUAGGACAUUAGAAAUCAAAAGAGUAAAUGAGUUUAGGAGAAAAGACUUAAGCAUCUAAAUAAUUUAACUCUUGGGUUCUGCUCUGAAAAGUAUGGUGUCCUGGUAUACUUGAAAAGCUUUCUUGUUCAUCAUAUGCUGCAUGUAGAGUCAGGUUGUGGGCUUGUAAUGAUGUCCACACCUAGGAUCCAUGGUCACCCACCAGCACUCCACUCAGCUAUGUGCUGCAGACAGAGAACAAAAAAUAUGUUUUCUGGCCUCAAAACACCUACAUACAUAAUACAAUCCAUAUGUGACUAUUUUUCCAAAGCUAUUUAGAAAAGCUUAUUUUAUUAGGAUGAAGUUUGAUUGCUGAACAAAUAUAAACUUGCAUGCCAAAUGAAGAAACAACAUUUGUCAAGCUAAACUUUUUAAACUCUCUUUCACAAUUUUUUGAUGCAUCUUACGUAUUUGAUGACUAUAAAAGAAUUUGCCAAGAAAAUGAAAGUAAUAAAAAUCCUCUGCCCUCGUGCAUUUGCUUUUCUUUUUCUUUUGUCUCCUGAAGCUGUAGGAGGUGUUUGCUGACAUGUUUUGCUUUCAGGGCACUUCUGGAGCAACGUGAUACGAGAAGUGACUCAGCUAAGCAAACUGAGUUUGUAUGAACAUCAGAAGCCCUUAAAGGAUGAAGCUGUAACUGGGAAUUAUGAAAAGAGGCAUCUAAGGAGCUCAAUGUGUUAUGUGCAUACAUAUUUCACUAUAUGUCAGCUAUAAAAUAUAAUUUCCAGUUAUGCUGAAAAACUGAAAAACUCCCUUCCCAAGCCUUACUGCAUCCCAACAUCUUAGACAGAUUUCAUACACUUUUAAGACAUGAACUGAUAUCUCAUGCACAGUUUUGACAAAAUAGUCCCUUUUACUUUAUUCUUGCUGUGAUGAAAGGCAGCUUAUUGUGUGACCACCUGUGUUUCAGGGUGUUCCCUGUGGAGGAUUCUGUGCACCACCCGUGGAGCAGACAGUGUCAGUCUGGCAGGUCAGAAAUACAAGUGAAGGAGGACUAUCAGGAAUAUAGAAUGAUCUGAAUUAAGCACUACCUUUUUGCUGUACUCCUCCUUUCCUCGGCUCAGCAGAGAAGCAGCAGCAAUUCUAACUCCCUCAUUCUUGAGGCAGGACAGAACGUGUUAGAGAAGUGCAGGUAAGCUUUAGCUUAAAUCACUAGCCCUGAUGGACAUUGUGCUGGGGUAUCAAUUAGAGACCACAAUACCAUUUUAACCAAAGGCUCUUGUUCAGCCUGUCUCCUCUCCAGGAAACCCCUCCUUGCUUCCUCUCUUGAUGCCGAGAUAAAAAACUGCUGGCAAAGAAGCAAAGCCAAACAAGGUUUUGGCUUGGAAAAUGGCUCUCAUAGCACUGCCAGAACGAGGGAAUGCUGGAAAGAAGAUUCCUGGAGAGGGUUUAACUUCACUUUGCACUAUGCAAGCAGCACAAUGUGAGGCUGAAGAUGAACAGAUCCUGUCUCAAAACUGCUUGGAGAUCGUAGAUGGAGUAAUGCAGAAAGCCUAUGCUUGAAUUUUAUCUACACCAAUGGAAUAAAAUGUAUUUAUUGUAUUUGCAAGUGGCAAGCAGUUCAGUGGAGCUUCAGUAUUAAGUCAUUUACACCUGAUUCUGGCCUCUUGCAGUGUCAGUGUAAGCAAAAGUCAAGUGUAUAUUGUCUCCUUCACACAGAUACAGUCCAAAAAUCAAGCAUGAAGGUUUUUGAUACUAAUAAAAACUGUUUGCCUAAGGACAAACUUGAGAGGAAUGUGAAUUUUCCAGUAUCUCCUGAUUCUUGUCAGGCUGUGUCACAGAAAUUUCUUUUCUUGAGAUAUUUCUGUGCUUCUUUCACCAAAACUUACGCAU